rnacentral:rRNA from 1 species
CCCUUAGAUGUUCUGGGCCGCACGCGCGCUACACUGAUGCAUUCAACGAGCCUAUCCUUGACCGACAGGUCCGGGUAAUCUUUGAAUCUGCAUCGUGACGGGGAUAGAUUAUUGCAAUUAUUAAUCUUCAACGAGGAAUGCCUAGUAGGCGCAAAUCAUCAGCUUGCGUCGAUUACGUCCCUGCCCUUUGUACACACCGCCCGUCGCUCCUACCGAUUGGGUGUGCUGGUGAAAUGUUCGGAUCGGCCGUUUGUCGCGGUUUCCGCGUCAUGUGGCUGAGAAGUUCAUUAAACCCUCCCACCUAGAGGAAGGAGAAGUCGUAACA